UGCCUUUGUGUUGCUCUUUCACUAUCCUCUUGGUGAACAGGGUGUCAACUAAGGCAUACAGUGACUCUUGUGGUUGUGCCUGAAAUUCAUCAUCACUGAUAGAUUUCUACAGGAGCAACAGCAAGAACAAAU